UUUAUUGACAACUUCAAAUUUUUUAUAACUUUGAUAUUAUCAUCAUCGUCUAACCAGCAAUCAUAUCGGUAUCCAAAAGAAGUCAGGGACACAUACUUGAAGACCAAGCGUUGUUUUACAACAGUAACAGGUCGACUCACUAAGCGCAGGUAAACAUCCCCACAAACGACCCAACUCAAGGUAAGCUUUCUCCGCGCAAAAUGCAACGACGAUUUUAUUGGGCCAACAACAGUCACGAAACUGAUAAGCGACGCCAAUUGUCCCCCCUGAGUCACCACCCCCGACGAGUGUGUCUUAAAGAGAUAGUGGGAAGGGUUAAUGGUUCUUAAAAGGAAGAAAAUAAAAUACCUCAGCACUUGAUUCAUUCAAUCGUUGGUAUCCCGCGAGCUUAAACCAUUCGUGGAAUUGUUCCUAAUUUAGUCGCAAAAUGUUACACAAAUUGUGUUGUGGAAGCAAAAGUUACAGCAUGGAGUCCGGAUCAGUUGGCAGGGAUAGUGUCGCUCAGGAAUCGAGUACCGGAUCAGUCUCCACCGUAACAGUUCAACCUGGAUUCAAAAAUAUUAACACGGAAAGUGCACCAACGAGUACAGAAAAUGGAAGUUAAUUUGCAUAAUUUUUAAGUGAAAAUAUAAACAAUCGAAUCUUUAUUGCU